rnacentral:rRNA from 1 species
UACGAAGGGUGCAAGCGUUACUCGGAAUUACUGGGCGUAAAGCGUGCGUAGGUGGUCUCUUAAGUCCGUUGUGAAAGCCCCGGGCUCAACCUGGGAAUGGCAGCGGAUACUGGGAGGCUAGAGUGCGGUAGAGGGUAGUGGAAUUCCCGGUGUAGCGGUGAAAUGCGUAGAGAUCGGGAGGAACACCAGUGGCGAAGGCGGCUACCUGGACCAGCACUGACACUGAGGCACGAAAGCGUGGGGAGCAAACAGG